GGUGCCCGGGCGACGUGUCCAGGCUUGCGGCUGGGCGAGGGAGGAAGAAAUUAACUUCAAGAUUCAAGGCCUUACAUUUGAGAAGGACUAAGGGCAAAGCCUUUGUUUUGUGUGCGGAUCUGUUGUUGGUGGGAACUCAGCUUAGCCGCUGAAGCCAAAGAACAUGUUCAGAUUCCAGUCUCUGCUUCACUGAGUGGGGCAAGAUCUUCAGGAUAUUUAUAUGGUUUCCUGAUUCAGUGACUGUAGUCCCCACUGUAAAGACUGGCCUACAAAGAAGAGUGAUUACAGAAGAGCUCUUUAAGGAUGCUAGGGCACUAUUCACAAUUUUUUUUCUGAGUUGUGGUGAAAGGUGUCUUCUGGACUCUGGUAUAUCACCUGGACUCUCAGAGUAGGGAGACUGAGAAAUUCAAGAUCUGUGGUCAGCAAGCUGGAGACCCAGAAGAGCUGAGGGCAAUUUUCCAAUUGAAGUUCAAAGGCCUGUGAACCAGGAGAGCAGCUGAUAUAUGUCUCAACCCAACUUUGAGUCCAAAGGUAGAAGACUGAUGUUUCAAGUUGAAGACCUUAAGGCAAAAACACUCCAGGUAAAAGCUGAUUCUCCCCAUAGCCGGGAAGGAUGCCAUCACUACCGCAAGAUGAAACAGGCACGCAAGAUUGAGAAGUGCUGGGGUGAAGCAACAUUCAGCUGUAUUUUCUUUGCUCUUCAGAUAAUAAUGACUCUGGGGAAGGAGGAGAAAACUCCAGAACUACUUUAUUCUCUUCAAAGCGCCAGCCUCAGGAGAACAAGAGGACAAGGCUCUUCGCAGACCAGGGAGCAAGAGCACACGCUGUCCCUGUGUCUUUAUUUUAUUAUAUUAAUGAUAUGAAGGUCAAAAAUUCCUUCCUUUAAAAAAAUAAAAAAAGAUGGAUAGUGGAUAGAAAAAACCUUAAUUGUGGCCUUAAAAUCAAAAAUUUAUUUUAUCUACAUUUUCUUUCUUUCCUUUUCUAAGAUUUUAUUUAUUUGAGAGAGAGAGA